rnacentral:rRNA from 1 species
GACGAACGCUGGCGGCGUGCUUAACACAUGCAAGUCGAACGGAAAGGCCCUGCUUUUGUGGGGUGCUCGAGUGGCGAACGGGUGAGUAACACGUGAGUAACCUGCCCUUGACUUUGGGAUAACUUCAGGAAACUGGGGCUAAUACCGGAUAGGAGCUCCUGCUGCAUGGUGGGGGUUGGAAAGUUUCGGCGGUUGGGGUUGGACUCGCGGUUUAUCAGCUUGUUGGUGGGUAGUGGCUUACCAAGGCUUUGACGGGUAGCCGGCCUGAGAGGGUGACCGGCCACAUUGGGACUGAGAUACGGCCCAGACUCCUACGGGAGGCAGCAGUGGGGAAUAUUGCACAAUGGGCGGAAGCCUGAUGCAGCAACGCCGCGUGCGGGAUGACGGCCUUCGGGUUGUAAACCGCUUUCGCCUGUGACGAAGCGUGAGUGACGGUAAUGGGUAAAGAAGCACCGGCUAACUACGUG